rnacentral:sRNA from 1 species
AGGUAUUAUUAAUUUAUGUAAACCUGGAAAUUCUGGGAUCCAGUCUCUAAUAGGAGUACUUUGCAUACCAAAUAUGGAAAUAAGGCGAGGUCUACUUGAAGUGCUUUAUGAUAUCUUUCGUCUUCCUCUACCUGUUGUGACUGAGGAGUUCAUAGAAGCACUACUCAGUGUAGAUCCAGGGAGGUUCCAAGACAGUUGGAGGCUUUCAGAUGGCUUUGUGGCAGCUGAGGCAAAAACUAUUCUUCCUCAUCGUGCCAGAUCCAGGCCAGACCUCAUGGAUAAUUAUUUGGCACUGAUACUCUCUGCAUUUAUUCGUAAUGGACUUUUAGAGGUAAGACUUAUAAACCUUAUUUUAUUCCAUUUUGUUUAUUUUCUCUAACAGAUUCUUUCAGGCCAGGCGUGGCGGCUCACGCCUGUAAUCCCAACACUUUGAGAAGCCAAGGCAGGCGGAUCAGUUUAGGCCAGGAGUUAGAGACCAGCCUGAACAACAUGGUGAAACUGUGUCUCAACUAAAAAUACAAAAAUUAGCCACGUAUGGUGGCACACCCCUGUAGUCCCAGCUACUUGGGAGGCUGACACACGAGAAUUGCUUGAACCUGGGAGGCAGAGGUUAUACUGAGCCGAGAUCUUGCCGUUGCAUUCCAGCCUGGGCAACAGAGUGAGACUCUUGUCUAAAG